rnacentral:lncRNA from 1 species
GCACGCGCGGUUGGGAGCCUCGCCCAUGCUUUGUCGCGUUACCGGGGCUACCGUUUGCGCCCCCGACUGCAACGGUGGCCGCUGAGGGAGGAGGCUUCUCGAAUACGAUUGUUGAUGUUAUUGUUGGGAAAGACGAAAAAGGCAGAAAGAUCCCAGAAUAUCUGAUCCAUUUUAAUGGUUGGAACAGAAGCUGGGAUAGAUGGGCAGCAGAAGAUCAUGUGCUUCGUGAUACCGAUGAAAAUCGUAGAUUACAGCGUAAAUUGGCAAGAAAAGCUGUAGCUCGCCUGAGGAGCACAGGAAGAAAGAAGAAGCGCUGCAGGUUGCCUGGUGUGGACUCUGUCUUAAAAGGCCUCCCCACUGAAGAAAAAGAUGAAAAUGAUGAAAACUCAUUAAGCAGUUCCUCUGACUGUAGUGAAAACAAGGAUGAAGAAAUAAGUGAAGAAAGUGAUAUUGAAGAAAAGACUGAAGUGAAAGAAGAACCAGAGCUUCAAACAAGAAGGGAAAUGGAAGAAAGAACAAUAACUAUAGAAAUCCCUGAAGUUCUGAAGAAGCAGCUGGAG